rnacentral:rRNA from 1 species
AGUGAGGAAUAUUGGUCAAUGGACGCAAGUCUGAACCAGCCAUCCCGCGUGCAGGAUGACGGCCCUAUGGGUUGUAAACUGCUUUUCUAUGCCAAGAAUGGUUACUACGUGUAGUGAUUUGACGGUAGCAUAAGAAUAAGGACCGGCUAACUCCGUGCCAGCAGCCGCGGUAAUACGGAGGGUCCAAGCGUUAUCCGGAUUCAUUGGGUUUAAAGGGUGCGCAGGCGGAACUUUAAGUCAGUGGUGAAAUCUUGCCGCUUAACGGUAAAAUUGCCAUUGAUACUGAAGUUCUUGAAUGUGGUUGAGGUAGGCGGAAUGUGUUGUGUAGCGGUGAAAUGCAUAGAUAUGACACAGAACGCCAAUUGCGAAGGCAGCUUACUAAGCCAUGAUUGACGCUGAGGCACGAAAGCGUGGGGAGCGAA